UCUGGUCCUUAUGCCAUCUUAACACUUAGCUAUGUCCUUUACUACAGGUGCAUUUCUUAGCCUGAGGCAGAGGGGACUGCAGCAUCUGCUUUGUCAGAUAGGCAUCAGGAAUAUCCUAGGCUGCAGACCUGGCCCCUCAACCUGUGUCUGAGUUUGCCCACUCAGUUUUACCUGCCUCAGCGGCUGAUCUGUCUGUCCGGGGUGUCUGCGGAAAGUGAAGUGCUUGAUCUCUGCAUCUGACACGUGACUGCCAUCCCUCUCAUGGAGAGCAGAGACUGUCUUGCUAAACGUCGUCCACCUAUUAAGUGCUAACCACGUGCACUGAGCACCAGCACAGUUGUGAAACUGCACCCGUGGCUCCCAGGAUGGGGCUUGACUCCUGGCUGGCCAGAGGCCAGCACUUCCACACAUGACCUCAUGAGAAGCCCUGCGUGCCUGGCACAGUGCCAGCAGCGGAGAAGUGAUGGCUGCUAUUACUAAUCUUCGGAAUCUUCCAACCAGGCAGAAUGCUGUGCUUUCCCAUUUCCCAGAUGGGGCAACCGAGGCUCGGAGAGAUUAAACCACUUGCUGGAGAUAACACAGAAUCAGGAGCUGACUUGAACUGGUUUGAAUUAGAAAGGGAAACUUUUUUUUAUGUGUUCUCCCUAGCUCAACUGGCCUGGAGUCCACGGACCCCCAAAGACCUUACUUUGCCAAACACUGGAGUGGUGGGGGCCCUGGAGAGGAACUCUCCUCUCUCCUCACUCCACGACAGGGUGCUGGGGGACUGAGCUGGACCAUCUAACACACGUGUCCUAACGCCAUUCCUCUGACGGGGAGCUGGACCAUCUAACACACGUGUCCUAACGCCAUUCCUCUGUGCAAGGUGGCAGGACUAAUGGGAAACGCUUCUUUGUCACAGCCUGAACAACAGCGAGGCCCUGGCUGGUGCUUACCCAUCCUCUUCUCCAAGUUGGCUUCAAGCAAAUCUGAUUCCGUGAGAAGUUCACGGUCCAGGAGCACAGGGCUGGGGUUCCUAAAGGCAAGAUAUCAUCCUGGGUGUGGCUCUUCAGUCACAGAUGCUCCCUGGUGAUUUGCAGUGAAGCCAUGUCCCAACGAGCCCGAGAUAAACUGGAAAUGCCAGGUGGUAUGAGGAAUGGAAAGCGCACUGGCUACCUUAACUUACUGAACAUCGCCACUUAGCAACUCAGCACACCGUAGACCACAGGCUGUUUUCCAUCUGCGACUGUAGGAACUUCCUGUAAAAGAGUAUCGUGUUUAUUGCUAGCAGGGGAGGGGGGGGCAGAAUUAAAAAUUCAUCUCUGGUUUCUGCCAAAUGCAAAUUACUUUUGUACCACCUUAAAGGUGAAAUCAUCAUAAAUUGGGGACUUUGUAGUUCCCUAUUCAUGUGUCAUCUUUGAAUACCUUAAUAUUUCCCUUCAUAGGAAUUUGGAAACUUUUUCAAACUGGGGCCGGUAGGUGGUUCAACUGGUAACAGUGAUGGUAACACAAGCUUGAUAACCUGAGUUUGGUCCCCAGAAUCUACAUGUUGGAAAGAAGGUACACAGUCUUGAACACUGUCCUGACUUGAUGCAAGUGUUGUGUGUGUGUGUUUUAAAGUCACACAUAUCAAGGCUAUAUAAGUGUAUUUUUUUAUAAAUGUAUUAAAACUUUUUCAAGGAACUAGAGAGACGGCUCCUCAAUUAAGAGCACUGGCCACUCUUCCAGAGGACCCGGGUUCA